GGGAUACAGCCUGAGCAGUGGUUCAGCAAGAUGGUUGGUAUAAGUAAUUGUGCUGGCGGGAUACAGGCAGGAGAAAGUUUGAAAAAGAUGCGCGGGGUAUGAGCAACUGGAACCAGAUGGGAAAAUGGAUCAUCAUUAAUUUUCUGUUUAAUCCAAAACAGGGAUAAUACAGUACAUAAAGUAAAUGCUCACAACAUCCUCCACACCCUUCUAUCAAUCUGCUACAUCUGCUCCUGACGCAACUAACUCCCACUGAGGGGCAGUGACCAGAAAGCGAAAAAAAAUGUGCACCACUCCCCGCAGGUCACAUGGGCUGUUAUCCUGUCAAUGCAGAAAGUGACCGAUAAAAAUGACCUAAAAUGUGAACAACGGAGUCCACUUUAAAUGCUGUGCAUCUCUUAAUGACAAGAUCAACACAGCGGCCAUUUUGUAACGUUGAAACUAAACUUUUAGUGACUGUCUUCGCUCUUCCACACGCUGCAUUCAAUAAAACUUCCAAUAGUUCCAGGUAACAAAAAAAGGAUUACAGAAAUACCUCAGUGAGGGAAAAUACUUCACCAUGAAAACAACAGUGGGAGAAAGAUUAUUGAUAUAUAACCAUAGGGAUAAUACAGUACUUCGAGUAAAUGCUCACAACAACCUCCACACCCUUCUAUCAAUGUGUUACAUUUGCUCCUGACGCAACUAACUCCCACUGAGGGGCAGUGACCAGAAAGCGAAAAAAAAUGUGCACCACUCCCCGCAGAGUCUGGACAUCCUUCCUAGAAUGAGGCUACCAGAAAUGUAUGAAAUACUCCAGAUGUGGCCGAUCUCGAGCCUGAACAGACCUCCCGACAUUUGAACUCAGCGCCUCAACAAUAAAGAGCAUGGUGCGGACAGUCCAGCGCAUCUGUAGAUGUGAACUUCCCACUAUUCAGGACAUUUACAGAGACAGGUGUAUAAAAAGGGCCAAAGGAUAUUGAGAGACCCAAUUCAACACAACCAAAAACUGUUCCUGCUGCCAGCAUCCAGGAAAUGGUACCACAGCAAAAGGACAAACAGGCUCCAGGAUAUCAUCUUCCACCCGGCCAUCAGACUGAUUAAUUCAUCCUGAUACAAUUGCAUUUUUAUGUUACAUGGACUGUCCUAUGUACGAACUAUUUGUUAUGAAUUACACAUUGUACAUUUAGAUGGAGACGUAACAUAAAGAUUUCUACUCCUCAUGUAUAUGAAGGAUGUAUGUAAU